rnacentral:rRNA from 1 species
UUGAGGGGUUCAAGGCAUGCAGAUCCAUUUUCUGCCACCGAAUACAUUAGCAUGGGAUAAUGGAAUAGGACCCUGUCCUCCUAUUUUCAGUUGGUUUUGGCAGCGCGAGGACUAGGGUAAUGAUUAAUAGGGAUAGUUGGGGGCAUUAAUAUUUAAUUGUCAGAGGUGAAAUUCUUGGAUUUAUGAAAGAUUAACUUCUGCGAAAGCAUCUGCCAAGGAUGUUUUCAUUAAUCAAGAACGAAAGUUAGGGGAUCGAAGACGAUCAGAUACCGUCGUAGUCUUAACCAUAAACGAUGCCGACCAGCGAUUAGGAGACGUUGAAUACAAAACACCACCAUCGGUUGCGGUCGUCCUUGGCGUCUCGGUUUCGGCCGGGGCGCGGGGACGGUUUAGCCCGGUGGCACCGGUGAAUGACUCCCUAGCAGCUUGUGAGAA